AGGAUGAACGCUGGCGGCGCGCCUAAUACAUGCAAGUCGAACGGGGUCGCAAGACCUAGUGGCGACCGGGUGAGUAACACGUAGCGGACCUGCCCCUCAGCGGGGACAACAGUUCGAAAGGACUGCUAAUACCGCAUGAGUUCAAAGGGUUUAGAAGCCUUUGAAGAAACUUACGGGGCUGAGGGAGGGCGCUGCGGCCCAUCAGGUAGUUGGUGAGGUAGAAGCUCACCAAGCCGACGACGGG
rnacentral:rRNA from 1 species